UUUAUAACCUAUGAUUGUGGUGUCGGAUAUCGACUUAAAAGGGAACCCGGUGAAAUUCCGGGACUGUCCCCGCAACUGUAAGUGCAAACGAAAGAAGGAAUGCCACUGUCCAUCGGACGGGAAGGCCUUCGAGUAGGCAAAAAGCACAAGUCAGGAGACCUGCCAUAAUCAGUACGUGUUA
rnacentral:ncRNA from 2 species